UUGCUUAAAUAUAAUAGGGGGAAAACUACUUUUAAACAAAACCCUGUCCUCCUCAAGGGCAUAGCUGAGCUAAUGGUUCAGGAAGUUUGCAAAAGAAUAUUAGGUGAGGAGGAAAAGAAAUGGGAGAGCAGAGAUGGGAUCUAUUUAUACCAGGCUGACAGAGCGGUUAAGAACUUCAUCUCGUAGCUCAGAUGGCACGAUUGCUCAACUGAGGAGGGAUUUGACAAGAAGCUACGUGUCGAUUAGAGAUUAUAUUGCAUGCUCCGGUGCAGAAAAAAGUGAUGAUGUGACCAAACAGUGACACUAAAUAUUGUGGAAGGGUCUUACAGAGAGAUCCUAUCUCAGGAUUCAACAUGAACCUGUGCAGGCAAGAGGAUAUUUAUGAAGGUCUUCUCGUACGACCUGGCAGAUCUCCUCCAUACUGCUCUGAGGCGCUCUGCUGUGCAGGACCUUCAGUGUGCUGGUGUACUCCUCAGGCAGGAGGUAGUCCAGGGCUCCCAGGUGCUGCCCUACUUUAAUGAAGGUGCCUCUGUUCAUACAACACAAGUCACGGAGCCUCUCCGCCGACCGUCUGUGAACCUGAAGAAAGAAACAUUCAAACAAAUGUUUAAAUUCUUAGAGCUAUUUAAAAUUAUUUAAAUAAAGCUCUCAUAAUUCUCAUUUAUGAGCUAAUGUUCAAAA